ACGGUUUUCUGACGAAAGUAAUUAUCUGCGGGUUUCGUGCAAAUUUUAAUUUUUUCUUGAGUCUGGCUCAGUGUGAUUUGAUGAGACGAACAAUUUGAUACUAAAUAGUCCCGAUCUGUUCAGUGGAUGUCGAGCGAGGGUGAGAAAACCGCUUUGAUCGCUUUUGAGCGGUUUGGAUUUAAGGGGUGGGGGCGAUUUUUAACAAUAUCUAUGACUUGAUGACUAAUACCUCUGCUAAUACUUUGAUGUUCACUUGUACACUUGAUGACUAAGCUUUCGUUUUUCGAGUUUCGAAAAAGAGACGGAAGUUUAAUAAUAAGAUUAUAAAGAAAACUGGAAACGUACGUAUACGUGAUGGCUGCAGUGCUGCACGUGUGGUGUCGGUGGCCGGUGUCAAUCUUGGUCGCGUGUCUUUACUCUUUAGGCCCAUAGAAUCGCGUAAUAGGCUACGUACACUCCAUACUGUUUAACAGAUUCCAUGGUGCAGAUUUGAGGGCCUGAUCCAGCCAUCGUAACAAUAAGAUACACAAGUUUUGCUUGUGCUAGUAUUGACCUGUCAUCACCAACAAUCUAAAUAAACAGCAUCCCGUUUUUGAUGGAAGAAACUAUCGAUAUUAGUCGAGUUACGUCUCUCUUCUUCCCCUUUCUUUAAAUCCAAUUUGUCCUCGUGUACAUCCAUGUGAAUGUGGGGGUAUUCACGAGGACCCCCUUUUUCCUAUCCUGCCUGGUGGAUUCGAUUUUUCAACGGAUGGAGCACUUGCGGUUGGGGAUGCCUGGCCGUAUUUCCCAGGCUAAAAGGUAGGACAAAUUAAUCUUUAUUCUUCCUUUUGACUAUUUGAUGGGUUGGUUGUAAAUCGUACUAUUCCGAGCAUGAUUUUCCCUGAGCUAUGCCGUUAUGACUGGAACUGUUUUCUUUUGGCAUUUGGUUUACUCAGUGUAAGGGUUCAUUGAAUAACUCAUUUGUAGAACGACUGCUGAUCAGGCCUGUUUUUUUUAGUACCUCACAAUUUUCUUUGUGGGUAAAGAAUCAAAUUCAAAAAUGUUUUUUUACUUUAAGCACUUGCACUUUAACAAAGGGAAACGAGAAAAUUUUUUGACCAAUAGGGAGCUAGAAUGUAUUCGCGCACUGGCAUUUCUUCGUUGAUUCAAGGAUCUUUCCACCCGGGAAAGAUUUUGGAAUAGUCUUUGUAAUUAUAGAAGACACUGUAAUCUUUGUUAAGGUAAAAUGUAUAGUCUUGCUCGUAUCCCUGA